rnacentral:rRNA from 1 species
AUUGAACGCUGGCGGCAGGCCUAACACAUGCAAGUCGAACGGUAACAGGAAGCAGCUUGCUGCUUCGCUGACGAGUGGCGGACGGGUGAGUAAUGUCUGGGAAACUGCCUGAUGGAGGGGGAUAACUACUGGAAACGGUAGCUAAUACCGCAUAACGUCGCAAGACCAAAGAGGGGGACCUUCGGGCCUCUUGCCAUCGGAUGUGCCCAGAUGGGAUUAGCUAGUAGGUGGGGUAACGGCUCACCUAGGCGACGAUCCCUAGCUGGUCUGAGAGGAUGACCAGCCACACUGGAACUGAGACACGGUCCAGACUCCUACGGGAGGCAGCAGUGGGGAAUAUUGCACAAUGGGCGCAAGCCUGAUGCAGCCACGCCGCGUGUAUGAAGAAGGCCUUCGGGUUGUAAAGUACUUUCAGCGGGGAGGAAGGGAGUAAAGUUAAUACCUUUGCUCAUUGACGUUACCCGCAGAAGAAGCACCGGCUAACUCC